GCCUGUAUUAAAAUAUUCUAUUAAACUCAACCAAGCAUGAAUAUUAAUACUCCUACAGGUGAAAAAGGUAUCGAAUUUCUCAGGAGAUAAACAUAUUAAUCAGUUUUGCAGGACAUGUUAGUAAUACAUGCCCAAGCAUGUAUUGACUUUAAUAGAAUAUUUUAAUACAGGCUAUAAUUAGCUUACAGCAAUGUUUAUUUCCCAAACCGGUUUGACAUAUUUUUACAAAUGGCCAAUCACGUGCGAAAUUCAAAUUCUGAACCUAAUCAAGUGUGGAAGUGGGAUUUGCAAUCGAUGUCACCCUGGGCCUUACACAGCGGAGGAGAGGGGACGGCAGGGGGAAACUGCCUUCCUUAGAUUGUCAUUAUUAAUUAUACUUUGCAUAUUUUGGACUUUUUUCAACAUAUAAGCCUUACUGCCCCCUUGGUGAUACGGCCCUGAUGUGACCAGAGGCUCUCCGUUCUCACAUCUUGUUUCUUUCACCUUGCAAAGAGCCUCUGGAACCAGGGUACUCUUAAAGUAACACACAGACAGAGCAAAUAAUAUAAUGCUUUUAAAAAUCUUCAAUUUCAAAAGAGGCAGUAAAUUGGUAGGGAAAUCUUUCAAUAAUAUCCUGUGGUUAUGGUAAACUAUGUACCGGUACCAGACAAUAUAAAUCCCUGCCUGCUCAAAUCUAGGAAGUGUGGGGGCCAUUGGGCAAAGCAGGGUCACUGAGGGCCUGUUUAUAUGAUCCUGCCUAGACGAAAUGUUUUCAUCCCGCCUAGAUGGGAAAUUCGCCUAAUGUUUAUAUGGACAAAAUACAUUGCCUGGAUGAAGCCAUUUAAGUGAGCUUGACGUCAUAUUUUUGUUGCAAUAAAGGCAUUUACGCAUGCUCAAAAGGGAAAAGUUCAUCCCACCUAGCUGGGAUGAAGUGUUUAUAUGGGAAUUUUUCGUUCCAGCUAGGCGGGAUGAAGUGUUUGUAUGGGAAUUUUUCAUCUCGUUUAGGCGGGAUCCUGGCAUCUGUUGCCGAGAUCACGCCUAGGCAGGAUAAGUGGCAGGAUCAUAUAAACACUCUUUAGAAUUUGUAUUAUGAGCGGGAUCUCGGUAAGCACCCCGUCCGCCUGGCCGGGAUCAUACAUAUAUAAACAGGCCCUGAGACAAAACCAGAUAUUUACACAUUCCAGCAAUUUUGAUUAUGCAGUGCUGGCUGCUGAGAAGUAAAAACUGGCAACUUCUGGGUUGGGGGAGGUG